rnacentral:rRNA from 1 species
GACGAACGCUGGCGGCGUGCUUAACACAUGCAAGUCGAACGAUGAAGCCGGAGCUUGCUCUGGUGAAUUAGUGGCGAACGGGUGAGUAACACGUGAGUAACCUGCCCUUGACUCUGGGAUAACUGCUAGAAAUGGUAGCUAAUACCGGAUACGACCCUCGGAGGCAUCUCCAGGGGGUGGAAAGAAUUUCGGUCAAGGAUGGACUCGCGGCCUAUCAGCUAGUUGGUGAGGUAACGGCUCACCAGGGCGACGACGGGUAGCCGGCCUGGGAGGGGAACGGGCCACACUGGGACAGAGACACGGCCAAGACUCCUACGGAAGGCAGCAGUGGGGAAGAUUGCACAAUGGGCGGAAGCCUGAUGCAGCAACGCCGCGUGAGGGAUGACGGCCUUCGGGUUGUAAACCUCUUUUAGUAGGGAAGAAGCGAAAGUGACGGUACCUGCAGAAAAAGCACCGACUAACUACGUGCCAGCCGCCGCCGUAA